CAGAGCUUUUACAGUAAAAUGGAAGAACUCCUAGUGUUCAGGAUUUUCCUCAUAUUCCUUCGUUGUCACCAGAAUCCAGAGAGGGCCAAAUUCUGUUCGCAUUCAUAUCUUAGACUUCUUCUGACGUGUCAACUCAUUGAUUAUUAUGAUUUGUACUGAAGUAAUGUACCCAGGCCCUGAUCAGGAUCAGUGUGAGGCACCGUCCCUGCCCAGAAGAGAUAACUGUCUCAUUUAAGACAAGACACAACAAAUUUUAAGAAGACACUUUGAUCCAGCUACUCUGUCACACAUCCAAAACCUAUUUGUGUUGGUGAAAACCCUCUUCUGUGCUCUACAGUUGUAGCCUUACUAACAGUUUCAGCCCACUGACAACACUGAAUAUCCAGCAUCCAGUGAUCCUUCUUCUGUUCUCUCAGUCUGGCCUUUUCACUGGUCAGAAAUUCCUAACCGCUCAGGAAGAUGUCAUUACUGUGAUGAGAAACUUCAACCCCUGUUUUCCAGACAACAGCGGUACCCAUAGUAACUACUGGUAUGAGCAUUUGGGAGUCCAGAUCCCACCCUCCUUUCCUACUGCCAUUUCUACAGAUCCCUAACAGGUGUUAAAG